rnacentral:rRNA from 1 species
AUUGAACGCUGGCGGCAUGCUUUACACAUGCAAGUCGAACGGUAACAGGCCGCAAGGUGCUGACGAGUGGCGAACGGGUGAGUAAUGCAUCGGAACGUGCCCAGUCGUGGGGGAUAACGCAGCGAAAGCUGCGCUAAUACCGCAUACGAUCUGUGGAUGAAAGCGGGGGACCGUAAGGCCUCGCGCGAUUGGAGCGGCCGAUGUCAGAUUAGGUAGUUGGUGAGGUAAAGGCUCACCAAGCCGACGAUCUGUAGCUGGUCUGAGAGGACGACCAGCCACACUGGGACUGAGAUACGGCCCAGACUCCCACGGGAGGCAGCAGUGGGGAAUUUUGGACAAUGGGGGCAACCCUGAUCCAGCAAUGCCGCGUGCAGGAAGAAGGCCUUCGGGUUGUAAACUGCUUUUGUACGGAACGAAACGGCUCUGGUUAAUACCCGGGGCUAAUGACGGUACCGUAAGAAUAAGCACCGGCUAACUACGUGCCAGCCGCCGCGGUAACAC